CAGCCGCCACGGUAAUACGGAGGGGGCUAGCGUUGUUCGGAAUUACUGGGCGUAAAGCGCACGUAGGCGGCUUGGUAAGUUAGAGGUGAAAGCCCGGAGCUCAACUCCGGAAUUGCCUUUAAGACUGCCGAGCUAGUAGGUGAGAGAGGUAAGUGGAAUUCCGAGUGUAGAGGUGAAAUUCGUAGAUAUUCGGAAGAACACCAGUGGCGAAGGCGGCUUACUGGCUCAUUCUAGACGCCGAGGUGCGAAAGCGUGGGGAGCAAACAGGAUUAGAGACCCCUGUAGUCACUGUCUCUUAUAC
rnacentral:rRNA from 1 species